UGGGGGGCGUGCUAUAAUGCAGUCGAGCGGCAGACGAGAGCUGCUCCUCUGACGUAGCGGCGGACGGUGAGUAACACGUGGAUAACCUACCUAUAAGACUGGGAUAACUUCGGGAAACCGGAGCUAAUACCGGAUAAUAUAUUGAACCGCAUGGUUCAAUAGUGAAAGACGGUUUUGCUGUCACUUAUAGAUGGAUCCGCGCCGCAUUAGCUAGUUGGUAAGGUAACGGCUUACCAAGGCAACGAUGCGUAGCCGACCUGAGAGGGUGAUCGGCCACACUGGAACUGAGACACGGUCCAGACUCCUACGGGAGGCAGCAGUAGGGAAUCUUCCGCAAUGGGCGAAAGCCUGACGGAGCACCGCCGCGUGAGUGAUGAAGGUCUUCGGAUCGUAAAACUCUGUUAUUAGGGAAGAACAAAUGUGUAAGUAACUAUGCACGUCUUGACGGUACCUAAUCAGAAGCCACGCAAAUA
rnacentral:rRNA from 1 species